UACGUAGGUGACUAGCGUUGUCCGGAUUUACUGGGCGUAAAGAGCUCGUAGGCGGCUUGUCACGUCGAUUGUGAAAGCCCGAGGCUUAACCUCGGGUCUGCAGUCGAUACGGGCUAGCUAGAGUGUGGUAGGGGAGAUCGGAAUUCCUGGUGUAGCGGUGAAAUGCGCAGAUAUCAGGAGGAACACCGGUGGCGAAGGCGGAUCUCUGGGCCAUUACUGACGCUGAGGAGCGAAAGCGUGGGGAGCGAACAGG
rnacentral:rRNA from 1 species